AGUGAACGCUGGCGGUAGGCCUAACACAUGCAAGUCGAACGGCAGCACAGUAAGAGCUUGCUCUUACGGGUGGCGAGUGGCGGACGGGUGAAGAAUACAUCGGAAUCUACUUUUUCGUGGGGGAUAACGUAGGGAAACUUACGCUAAUACCGCAUACGACCUACGGGUGAAAGCAGGGGAUCUUCGGACCUUGCGCUAUUGAAUGAGCCGAUGUCGGAUUAGCUAGUUGGCGGGGUAAAGGCCCACCAAGGCGACGAUCCGUAGCUGGUCUGAGAGGAUGAUCAGCCACACUGGAACUGAGACACGGUCCAGACUCCUACGGGAGGCAGCAGUGGGGAAUAUUGGACAAUGGGCGCAAGCCUGAUCCAGCCAUACCGCGUGGGUGAAGAAGGCCUUCGGGUUGUAAAGCCCUUUUGUUGGGAAAGAAAAGCAGCAGGUUAAUACCCCGCUGUUCUGACGGUACCCAAAGAAUAAGCACCGGCUAACUUCGUG
rnacentral:rRNA from 1 species